UUUGUGCAGAUAUGAGGAAUCAAGCAGGGAGAAAGAACCUGGCUUUGUGAGCUGCCUGAGAAAUGAGUUCAUGGCUGAAGUGUCCCUUUUCUCAGCUAACAUGUUUUAUUUCAUGCACAGGAUGUAUACAGAGAAAAUCUUCCCAUGAGGAUUCCAUAGAAGAUGGGAAGAAUUGUGUGUCCAGUUCCCACUGAGGAGACACACACAGAAAACUAAAGGCUGAGUGACAAUUCCAAAAUCACCUUGAAAAAAUACAGAAAUAUGGUUGUAAGAACUUGUGGAUGUUGCUAACUUGAAACCAGAUGCUGGGGACACACAUUCUGCCUUGGAUUCCUUGGUCAUAUCUGCCUUAAAAAACAUACAGAAGCACAGUGGAGGUGGAGGGAUGAGACUUUGAAACCAUCUCAUGCUGGUGCCUUACUGCCCAAGAAAGAUUUUAACGGACCUUGCUAAUAAUUUGCUCACUUGGAAAUACCAGACAUUUUCUUUAAGUGUUUAUUUAGAAAGUAUCAGGAGGUGGUUCCAAGAUGGCCGAAUAGGAACAGCUCCAGUCUACAGCUCCCAGUGUAAGUGACGCAGAAGAUGAGUGAUUUCUGCAUUUCCAACUGAGGUACCGGGUUCAUCUCACUGGGGUUUGUUGGACAGUGGGUGCAGGACAGUGGGUGCAGUGCACCAAGCGUGAGCUGAAGCAGGGCGAGGCAUUGCCUCACCUGGGAAGUGCAAGGGGUCAGGGAAUUCCCUUUCCUAGCCAAAGGAAGUGGUGACAGAUGGCACCUGGAAAAUCGGGUCACUCCCACCCUAAUACUGCACUUUUCCAAUGGUCUUAGCAAACGGCACACCAGGAGAUUAUAUCCUGCACCUGGCUCAGAGGGUCCCACGC
rnacentral:lncRNA from 1 species